rnacentral:ncRNA from 1 species
GCAAAAACUAUGAUGAGGAAUAGUAAUGAUGUAGUUCCGCUCAUUAGAGAGCUGGCGGGAGGUGCAAGCCAGCCGGGACUGUCAUGAACUCGCCUUGGAGUUGCAGGUGUGAACCACAGUAAUGCCUGCCGUUUUCCGCGUUAAGGAUGAAUGAAGAGAGCGGCAAUGCCGCUAAUGUGGGUGGUACCGCGGGAGAAUACAUAUCCUCUCGUCCCUGUU